GAUGAACGCUGGCGGCGUGCCUAAUACAUGCCAGUCGAGCGAGCAGACGAGGAGCUUGCUCCUCUGACGUUAGCGGCGGACGGGUGAGUAACACGUGGAUAACCUACCUAUAAGACUGGGAUAACUUCGGGAAACCGGAGCUAAUACCGGAUAAUAUAUUGAACCGCAUGGUUCAAUAGUGAAAGACGGUUUUGCUGUCACUUAUAGAUGGAUCCGCGCCGCAUUAGCUAGUUGGUAAGGUAACGGCUUACCAAGGCAACGAUGCGUAGCCGACCUGAGAGGGUGAUCGGCCAUACUGGAACUGAGACACGGUCCAGACUCCUACGGGAGGCAGCAGUAGGGAAUCUUCCGCAAUGGGCGAAAGCUUGACGGAGCAACGCCGCGUGAGUGAUGAAGGUCUUCGGAUCGUAAAACUCUGUUAUUAGGGAAGAACAAAUGUGUAAGUAACUAUGCACGUCUUGACGGUACCUAAUCAGAAAGCCACGGCUAACUACGUG
rnacentral:rRNA from 1 species